ensembl:lncRNA
GUUCUGACCAAUCAGCGUUAGGCGGUAAGUUUCAAAACACAAAUGGCGACGGAGAGAACUGAAGCUCUUCUGGAAAGGACUGACCCUUCCUUUCUGAAAUCAUGCACCACCACCGAGCUGCAGGAAACAGAAGAGGGCGAAAUUAUGGCUCCUUAUCUGAUGGACUGCAGGAGAAAACAGAAGCAUGUGUUCAGGCAGCUGUGUGUGGUGGUUGAUAUGAUCCAGCUGCUGGCUGGUCUGGAGUCAGUGGAUCAGCUGCUGAAUAAGCCAUGUCCCCAAAACCCAGGUAAUGAAGCUCGUUGUGCAUGGAAGGCUUUAAAAGCUGAAUAUCUGGAGAGAGUUCAGGAGGUGGAGGGGAUGAUCAGCUCUCUCUGGGAUCGCACGGAGGAGCUUCAGGGGAAACGGAAGACACUGGAGACUCUGCUGUCUGUUCUGCAGAUAAAGAAAGAGGAGUGCAAAGAGAAGCAGAGGAUCGCAGCUAAACGAAAUCAGAGAGCUGAGAAACAAAUCAGCUUUCAGUUGGAAGACUCCAUCCAGGCAGCCCAAAACUCGAUCAAUGCAUGUGAUUUGCAGUUUUCGAAGCUUAAGGAUGAGGUUGAAAAGCAGCAGGCUCGAAUUAGUGACUGGACAAUAUUAAGAGAUGGGCUGCAGACCUUGGUCAACGUGACUCACAGAAACAUGGCGUACAGGCUGCUGUCAGUCAGUUCCUCUGAGCUGUGCCUCGAGCUCUUGCCUCGUGCUGCUGAAGUAUCACUUGAGCCCCUGUGUGUCUCCAUCACCAUGACAACCAGCGAAGAAUUUCAUCUUCAGGUACUGUGUCUCAGUAUAUAAUUCCCUAGAGAGAUUAGAGGUCGACAGAUAGUGGAUUUUACCGAUACUGAUAGCUAGGUUGGACCACACUAGCUGAUACCGAUUAAUCAACUGAUAGUUUUUAAAAUGGAUACUAAAUGGAAAUUAAAACAGUGCUUUACUAUUUUUUAAAAGAAAGCAGUAGCAGUACUGAACCAUACUUUGUAAAUGAAUA